rnacentral:lncRNA from 1 species
CUUGCAUGUGUCUGGUGGCUAGGAACUCACUAUACUCUGAGGUAGAUCAUUCCAUUUUUAAGCAGUUUAACUGGAAAAAAGGCUGUACUCUGAAAGAGCACGGAUUGAUUCCCUGUAAGUUUCACCUAUUGAUCUCCAUUCUUCCCUCCAGAGCUUCCUACACACAAUUCUUCCUAUAUCACAAGGCCACUUUCUUGUUUGCCUCGGGCUCAACACCCCUGAUUCCUUCUCAGGAUGCUGCUUUUAGGAAGGUGGCAUCAAGUAGAGUGUCACGCAGCCAGCAGACACCGAGGGACCGGAAGUGGCUGCCUACCACUCAGAUCUCCAGCAGAUGGCUAGCGCGGUCCUGCACAGCCAGAGCUGACACCCAUCCUUUCUCCUGCACAAGGACCAAGGCCAAACAUUACACAAGCACAUGAAUUUCUUAUGCUUUUGUGGGUCGUGAAUCAUCUUGAAAAGCUGAUAAAAACUAUUGGUGAGCCAGGUGUGGUGGUAUAACACCCGCAACCCUAGGAGACAAGGCAGGAGGGAGUGAAAGCUUAAGCCCAACCUGGACAACUUUGGAAAUUAGCAAGACCCUGCCUCAACAUAAAAAAUAAAAAGUCUGGGGAUGCAGUUCAAUGCAAAGGCCCUGGAUUUAAUUCCUCACUAUCAAACAAACAAAUGAGUAUCCAGAAAGACAAACAUCAUAUAAAUACUGUGUUCAAUUUCACCAAAGUUCUAUGCUCUACCCUGAGUCUUGUAUGUGAGGUUCACUCUUGUUCCUGGCAGUGCGUAGGCUUCCAGUGAAGAAUCUCUACUGUAAACAAGGCUGCACAGCCCCGCACUCAGACCUCCAUGGGAUACCAAAGGAUUUUCCCUUGAGGGCUUGAAACAAGUCAUCCCAUCCACCCAUCCUUUCAAUUAAGGCCCACUAAGCCUGAGCUCUGGUUAUGGCUCUGGACAAGACACAGUCUCUUUUUCAGAGGGCUCAGGGUCUUGUGGGCAGAGAAUAGGGGAGUGAUUACGCUUACAUAAUUACACUAUCCGACUGACAGCUUUAUAACAGGUCUGAGGAGAUGGGGUGCACAGAGGUGAGGCCUCUC